rnacentral:rRNA from 1 species
CAGCCGCCACGGUAAUACGGAGGGUGCAAGCGUUAAUCGGAAUUACUGGGCGUAAAGCGCACGCAGGCGGUCUGACAAGUCAGAUGUGAAAUCCCCGGGCUUAACCUGGGAACUGCAUUUGAAACUGUCAGGCUGGAGUCUUGUAGAGGGGGGUGGAAUUCCAGGUGUAGCGGUGAAAUGCGUAGAGAUCUGGAGGAAUACCGGUGGCGAAGGCGGCCCCCUGGACAAAGACUGACGCUCAGGUGCGAAAGCGUGGGGAGCAAACAGGAUUAGAUACCCCUGUAGCCCUGUCUCUUAUACA